rnacentral:rRNA from 1 species
AUGGGCCAGAGGUUCAGGUUCUUCUGCUGCGGCUGCGGGGCCAAUGCGGCCGACGGCGACAUAGAGGUCGACGACGAGUCGGAGUGCGGCGGGAGCAAAGGGGGCGAGGAGGUCGGGACGCGGCAGCUGUCGUGGGCGCAGGUGGAGAGGAUGACGGGCGGGUUCACCUCCGCCGUGGUCGGCGAGGGCGGGUUCAGCACCGUCUACCUCGCGCGCCUCUCCGGCGCCCUCGCCGCCGUCAAGGUCCACCGCAGCAGCGAGCGCAUCCACCGCGUCUUCCGCCAGGAGCUCGAGACGCUCCUCCGCAUCCGCCACCCGCACAUCGUCCGCCUCCUCGGCUUCUGCGAGCAGCAAGAUGAGGGCGUGCUGGUGCUGGAGUUCGCGGCGAACGGAAACCUGUACGAGAAGCUCCACGGCGGCGGCAAGGCCGCGGGGGCGAUGCCGUGGUCGCGGCGGGUGUCGGUGGCACUACAGGUGGCGCAGGCGCUCGAGUACCUGCACGAGCGGUGCGAGCCGCAGGUGGUGCACGGCGACGUGAAGGCGUCGAACGUGCUCCUGGACGCGUCCAUGUCCGCCAAGCUCUGCGACUUCGGGUCGGCGCGGAUGGGGUUCUCCGCGGCCGUCCGCCCGCGGUCGUCGGCGCACACCAUGCUCGGCUCCCCGGGCUACGUCGACCCGCACUACAUCCGCUCCGGCGUGGUCACCAAGAAGACGGACGUGUACAGCUUCGGGGUGCUGCUCCUGGAGCUCCUGACCGGCAUAGAGGCCUUCUGCCCCGUGGAGGGCCGGCUGCUGACGGCCGUCCUCGCCCCGCGGCUCAAGGCCGCCUGCGACGCGCGGAUGCUGGUCGACGAGCGGCUCGGGAGCGCGUACGACGCGGGCGAGGCAUCCGCCGUGGCCGCGCUGGCGGCGUCGUGCGUGGGGCAGAACCCCAGCCUCCGCCCGUCCAUGGGCGACGUGGUGCGCACGCUGGAGCAGAGCGCGCAGGGGUCCAUCCUCGCCGCGGGGAGAGGAUCGGACGGCCAGGGGAAGCUGUGA